UCCGAUAUAGUACAAUGGUCAGUAUAUCCGCCUCUCAUACAGGUGGCCCGCGGGUGAUCAGGGUUCGAUUCCCUGUGUCGGAA